AGGCGGUCUGUCAAGUCGGAUGUGAAAUCCCCGGGCUCAACCUGGGAACUGCAUUCGAAACUGGCAGGCUUGAGUCUCGUAGAGGGGGGUAGAAUUCCAGGUGUAGCGGUGAAAUGCGUAGAGAUCUGGAGGAAUACCGGUGGCGAAGGCGGCCCCCUGGACGAAGACUGACGCUCAGGUGCGAAAGCGUGGGGAGCAAACAGGAUUAGAUACCCUGGUAGUCCACGCCGUAAACGAUGUCUAUUUGGAGGUUGUGCCCUUGAGGCGUGGCUUCCGGAGCUAACGCGUUAAAUAGACCGCCUGGGGAGUACGGCCGCAAGGUUAAAACUCAAAUGAAUUGACGGGGGCCCGCACAAGCGGUGGAGCAUGUGGUUUAAUUCGAUGCAACGCGAAGAACCUUACCUGGUCUUGACAUCCACAGAACUUGCCAGAGAUGCAUAGGUGCCUUCGGGAACUGUGAGACAGGUGCUGCAUGGCUGUCGUCAGCUCGUGUUGUGAAAUGUUGGGUUAAGUCCCGCAACGAGCGCAACCCUUAUCCUUUGUUGCCAGCGGUCCGGCCGGGAACUCAAAGGAGACUGCCAGUGAUAA
rnacentral:rRNA from 1 species